UCCAUCUCUGUUACAAAUCUGUAACCACUUGACUGCAGCUCUUACAUCAGCACACCUCCAGAAACUCCAGCUCUUCUGUCAAAAUGCCAGAUUCUGUGGAAGCUGUGCCAGCACCAUGCCUGGUCAUUAAAGAGGAUGUUGACAAAUGUAUCCGAGAAAAGGGAGAACAGGGCUGUAAAGAUCUAAUAGAUGCUUUUCAGGCCUGUGUAAAAACCCUGUCUGAGGGAUCAUGAAAUAAGGAUCUCAGUAAAAUCUUCAUUUAUAUCCUCCAUUUUCUCAGCACCUUGAACUGGAACAAACCAUCUGAGUGGAGAAGGGGGUCUUUUCUCUAAAUGGAAUAUAUCUACUGUGACCACUGUAUAUUACAAAAUUAAUUAUCAAUGAUUUGUAAAUAUGUUGCAUACAGAUAAUAUAUUUUCUAAUAAAGGUGUUCAUUUACUAUAUAAAGUGUGUUAAUGUUUUGGUAAUUUCAAAUGUCUUGACUUACCAGAAUGACUGUAAAGAGACACUGCCUGUUGGAUCGCCUCUGCCGGUCAAGCUUCUACACAUGGUUACUCUUAACAGAGUUAAAGAGAGCCUGUUAAUCUCUGCUUAAUCCUCACAUUACUGCACUAAGCAGUCUCAUGUCACUUUUCCAGUCUGAGCUCAGAAAAUGAGUGAAGCAUCUUGAAAUGUUCAAAUAUUAGACUGAACAAAGGUAGCGGAAGUCCCUUUUUGUAGGAUGGAUUGUGAGGAAAAAAGGGGAUUACAUGCAGUCUGGAUGUUGCAGUGUGGUGUCUAUUUCUGCAGCACAGAGGUCCUGAUGCUGCCAGCUGAAGGAGAAGUUCCAUCUCUGCUUCAGCAAAAUAUUAUAAUGAUGUAGGUCUACUUGUCACAUAUUUUGAUCUGAAAAUGUCUGUCCGAUCAGCAUUAACCACAAAGUAGUAGAUUGAGUCUCCUUCCUGUUCUAUUUCUGCUCCAUGGUUGGAGACAAAUCCUUCUGGCUGUGUGCAAAUCAACCAGCUAGGCGCAGAUGAAGAUGGGCUUUAGGGAAUUAUCCACCCACACACAACAUUUCAAAUUGAGAUUUUAGAGAUUUUUCAAGGCACUUUACAGAUGAUACAUUCAAAUAUCCUACUUACCCCUUUCAAACUGGCAUCUCUCUCUGUGAUUCAUUUGAGUUAGUACCCAACACUUGCCUUUCCACUUCUUCAUCAAGGAGGUGUAGAGUCACCCUCUUUAAGAGACUUCAGAGGACUGUUCAUUCUUGAGGUUUUUCUAAUAGAUGUUUACUAAUAUUUGAUACACAGCUGAAACGGUUUGUUUCUUGGGAGGACACAGGAAAAGACUUGAUUAAUAAAUCUGUGCAUUAACAGCAGCCAUUUUUAAGGUUCAAAAUUUAUUUGUAUCAUAAACUUGUCACUGCAGAUCUAAAUGAUGAGGGUUUCCUCUUAUUGGACUGCAUACUGAGUGUAAAAAUCAGCUCUUUGAUGUAAAUCCAACACCAGUGUCUUACACAUAACUUAAUCAUUAUCAAACCACUGUCUAUUGUGCUGCACUACACUUUAUAACAAAUGCUCACUCACACACUUACCACUGUAUUAUGUAUGAACAUGUAGGAUGGUUGUCUCUAAAUCAGAGGAAAAAAUGCAGGUGUUACUUUUUACUGCCAAGGUGUUGUUAGGCAAACUACCUACUUAUAUCACCAGCCUCUUAUCCUAUUGUACUAGUAACUACAGAACUAGAUGCCUGUUCAAACUCUUCCUAAUGUUCAAAGGGUGCAGUCAGAGUUUGGAAAAACUGCUUUUUCUAUUGAUGCAUGAAUUGCAACACAUCAUUUCAGGUGAAAUACUCCCUUCUUUAAAAACCUUUACCCCUUGUAGACUAUUGUCAAGAAUUCACCCCAAUAUUAGACUGUUUUUGUAAUGAGGUGCUGCUCAACACACUUGUGAAUGUGUACAUACGGUUGCAGAAAAAAUGAUUAGACCACCCUUGUUUUCUUCACUUUCUUGUUCAUCUUAAUGACUGGUACAACAAAAGGUACAUUUGUUUGGACAAAUAUAAUAAUAACAACAAAAAUAGCUCAUUAGAGUUUAAUUUCAGAGCUGAUAUCUAACCAUUUUCCAUGAUUUUCUUGAUAAUAACCAAAAUCACUU